rnacentral:rRNA from 1 species
GACGAACGCUGGCGGCGUGCCUAACACAUGCAAGUCGAGCGAGUGAAUCUCCUUCGGGAGUGAAGCUAGCGGCGGACGGGUGAGUAACACGUGGGCAACCUGCCUCAUAGAGGGGAAUAGCCUUUCGAAAGGAAGAUUAAUACCGCAUAAGAUUGUAGCUUCGCAUGAAGUAGCAAUUAAAGGAGCAAUCCGCUAUGAGAUGGGCCCGCGGCGCAUUAGCUAGUUGGUGAGGUAACGGCUCACCAAGGCGACGAUGCGUAGCCGACCUGAGAGGGUGAUCGGCCACAUUGGGACUGAGACACGGCCCAGACUCCUACGGGAGGCAGCAGUGGGGAAUAUUGCACAAUGGGGGAAACCCUGAUGCAGCAACGCCGCGUGAGUGAUGACGGCCUUCGGGUUGUAAAGCUCUGUCUUCAGGGACGAUAAUGACGGUACCUGAGAAGGAAGCCACGGCUAACUGCGUGCCAGCCGCCGCGGUAA